rnacentral:lncRNA from 1 species
AUCUGAGGAGAGAUUGUAUGCUGUGCUGAAGUCACGAUGUGAACUGUCACAGAUGGGAAAUGUUAACAACAAGCGUUAGCUCACUGGAGUUGGAUUUAUUCAAAUGCUGUCGUUCUUGCUAAUAGAUUAUAGAUACAUCUCAGUCCUUUUUUUUUCCUUUUUAGAAGUUCCUGCCGAGGUCAUCAUCUACUCAUGGAACAAUGGUACUAGCAGCCAAAGAAUCCAGCAGGGCAUUGAACAGCAGAAGAUUCACAGCAGACAAGUUUCCCCUCCUGUGUACACAGAUUUGAAAUAACAGUGGAA